UAUUACCUAUAAUGCAUGCGAAAUAAAACAUAGAUUGUUUCAUUUUCGGAUAUACUACACUAGAUAUUGUUUACUUUAGGUACUGAAUGCAUUGUUCACUUCCAAGAUCACACUGUCGUGCAUUGGAGAUGUCAAGGUUGUUUCUAGAAUGCAUGCGAAAGAAA
rnacentral:sRNA from 1 species